rnacentral:rRNA from 1 species
AGAGUUUGAUCAUGGCUCAGGAUGAACGCUAGCGGCAGGCUUAACACAUGCAAGUCGAGGGGUAGAGGAAGCUUGCUUCCUUGAGACCGGCGCACGGGUGCGUAACGCGUAUGCAAUCUACCUUAUACAGGGGGAUAGCCCAGAGAAAUUUGGAUUAAUACCCCAUAGUAUAAUUGAAUGGCAUCAUUAAUUAUUAAAGUUCCAACGGUAUAAGAUGAGCAUGCGUCCCAUUAGCUAGUUGGAGUGGUAACGGCACACCAAGGCGACGAUGGGUAGGGGUCCUGAGAGGGAGAUCCCCCACACUGGUACUGAGACACGGACCAGACUCCUACGGGAGGCAGCAGUGAGGAAUAUUGGUCAAUGGGCGCAAGCCUGAACCAGCCAUGCCGCGUGCAGGAUGACGGUCCUAUGGAUUGUAAACUGCUUUUGUACAGGAAGAAACACUCCCUCGUGAGGGAGCUUGACGGUACUGUAAGAAUAAGGAUCGGCUAACUCCGUG